rnacentral:rRNA from 1 species
CGGGAAACUGGGGAUAAUACCCUAUAGACUAUGGAUGCUGGAAUGCUUCGUAGUUGAAAGGUCCGCCGCUGUAGGAUGGGUCUGCGGCCGAUUAGGUUGUUGUUGGGGUAACGGCCCAACAAGCCUGUAAUCGGUACGGGUUGUGGGAGCAAGAGCCCGGAGAUGGAUUCUGAGACACGAAUCCAGGCCCUACGGGGCGCAGCAGGCGCGAAAACUUUACAAUGCGGGAAACCGUGAUAAGGGAACUCUGAGUGCCCGUAAAAUCGGGCUGUCCAUCAGUUUAAAUAACUGGUGAAGAAAGGGCCGGGCAAGACCGGUGCCAGCCGCCGCGGUAACA